CCUUUUUUUCGUUCUGAAGUGAUAACAGGCAACGAGUCAGGGAUCACCGGAGGAGCAUGUUCGGAGCAGUGCGCGACAUACUUCGCGGAAGGAGGGUGGACUGCUGAGUCCAUGUAUCGUCCUUUUUCGGUUACCAAGUUGUAUAUUUAAUCAUCAGUGCAAAUAAGAGUCCGAGUGAGUAGUUUCGUCGAACCACUAGAAGCGAUGUCAUCGACUCACAUCGUGCUUGGCAUUACUAUUUUCUUGGUAAGCGCCCUCGUGGCUGCGGCGACCGCCUUUGUUUGCUACUACAGAGCAAGGCGUAGGAUAGACAUCUCACGCAUGCGUAAAGCCUCUGGAGGCAUCCGUGGGUCGCGCCCUCCCCUGGGACUGCCCCGGCGUAAGCCCCCGCCCGUCCCUCGCUCCUGGCAGCCGCCCUCCUCUUCGCGACCCCCGACCUCGUCCUCCCACUCCGCCUCGGAACGUCCUUCGGGGGAUUCGGCGAAUUCCGGUCAAAAUAACAGACAUCUUAAGUCAGCGUCGAAACGCUACAAGCCUCAUGGUAGACCUGCCGACUACCACGUCCUUGGAGUCCGGUCUGAACAUCAAAAACAGCCUUGGGGCUUGCACUCAGACUCUGAACUUCUUCCUUUGCGAAGUCCUAGGAUCGAGGCACAAUAUUUCUACUUAGAUAAUAGCUCUCCUAAUCUGAAGGCUUCAUUGGUGGAAACCAAACAGAGCUCUCGAAACGGCUACCUGUCGGACAUGCGUUUUGAACAUUCAACCGAGAGUUCAGCUAUAAUGAAAUCCAGCAAGGAAAUAAAGUUUAGGAAAGAUGAUUCCGCGGCGGGAAAGGUUCAGAUGAAAUCAACCUUUUCCCUGGAACUCGCAGCCAAAGUGAACGAGAAAUCAUUAACAAGCAAACGUCCGAGCGUAAAGAACGUGACAGAGCAACGUAGGUCAUUUUCAGACCAGGAACCUGAUUACGCCAGCCUGGGCGAGGACUCGGAAGAUAAGUGCGGAUCAAACUCAGCCACUCUGCAAAGACCACUAGGAGGCAGGACCGGAGAGCAACAGCAGCUCGAUGGCGUGCAAUAUAUGAACGUGACAGAGGUCUCGGGACCUUACAUGAAUGUCAUUUCUACCGAUUCACUUACGAAAGGUCGCGGCCCGGAGCUGCACAAGGCCAUCUCAGAUCCUGAACAUCUCUACGAAUCCCUGGGCGAAAAUGAGCAGGAAGAAUGUCGGUCCGGCAAUGCAACUUGGCAAGGCGUGAUCGGGCCACAAACUCUUAGAAGAAUGGGAGAAAGGGUUGGAGAAGACUGGCGGUGCAUGAAGAGGGAUUCGCACCCGUAUGCCAUUCCUUGCAGCACCGACGACGAAGAAGACCCAUACGAGGAAAUUAGAGAGAUGUGACAGCUUCCUCGAGAUGCGCAUAACGACAUUGUUCGUGAGCAUUUAGGAAUGUGAACAAGAGAACGCGAGCGCCUCACAACCAUCCGGGCGUCAAAACAACCUUAUCAGAGCCAAGGGAAGAAUCCGGUGAUCCCCCGAACGAUAUAUGUGGCGCAGGAAGUCCCUCUGUUUUCAGGAAGUACUUCUUGGAUACGAGAUGCUGUGACAGCUCUUGGUUAUCUUCUUUUUUCAUCUGAUAAACUUAGAGCUAAAAAAUAUCUCACUGUGUUCUUGAUUAGCUGUUUUCAGUUUUUAACAUGUAUCUGUUUUCUCUCCUCUCUCUAUUUGGUGAUCUACUUCAUCAGCAAAAAUCAAAAUCUACGUUUCUGCUUCUCAUUACUAUAUAAAACUUUUUUAUAACAGGUGAUGUGCUUUUCAUUGGAUAUGUAGUAGCAAUAACUAUAAAAGUAAUCGUCUUUUCAAAACACAUAGGCAGCAGGUAC
rnacentral:misc_RNA from 1 species